GUCUCCGUAGCUCAGCCGGACAGAGCACAGGUUUCCUAAACCUGGGGUCGGAGGUUCGAUUCCUCCCGGGGACGCCA
rnacentral:tRNA from 4 species